GUGGACAGCAAGGCUUUUCUACGCGAUAGUAGCUGUGGUUGUUAUUUUGCUCCUGAGGCAUCAUGCUCCUGACGAGGCUGCAAGAGCCAGGUAUCAGAAACGAGUUUCCAACAUUAUCGAUGAUGUGCUCGAGUGGUCUCCAAGACAGGCUCUAUCAGGGAUGAUGGAUACCGUUGUCAAUGUCACCAACUCAAAUGAUAACGCAACUGAUGAUAGCAAAACUGGCAGUGAAAGAGUUCAUUUCACAGACGAUUUAGACGAAGAAACCGAUCUGAAAGAAGAGAGUGAGGAUGUUUUUGGAAGCUUAGAAGAUAGUGAUCAUCAG
rnacentral:misc_RNA from 1 species